AGUGCCUCAGACGGUUUUUAAGGUUAUUUGAUUCAAAUUUACCUGAUCUAUUCGUUUUAUUACGUUAGUAAAGCUUACAACAUUUUAGUUGACAUACCUAAUUGGAUAUUAGCAUUUAUAGCUCUACGCCCUGGCCAGGACUCGUCCCAAAUUUUAGUGGUUGGCCACUUUUAAAUGAUUUUAUUCAGUGAGUGGCCAAGGGCUGCGCUUGUCAUCCCUUUAUAGGUUGCGACGACCCAGAUCCAACGGAGCCCACUAGUCCACGAUGCAGUUCGACCUCUUCGCCGUUCGGCGGCGUUAGACCAUUGUCUACAUAGUGGCACCACUGCAUAUAUACACUUAUAAUCCAUAUUGCCCCGAAAUUAAAACGGAGGGUAAAUUAACGCAGCCGAAAGCUGAGCGGCAAUACAUUAAAGCUCCUGUCCCACUUGAAAAAUAGGUAUAAGUAUACAUAGUCUUGAAGUAAAAGUUCAAAAUUUAUAAAAAUCUAACCGUUUAAAAUAUGUUGAUUACCUGAACUGGU